rnacentral:rRNA from 1 species
AUUGAACGCUGGCGGCAGGCCUAACACAUGCAAGUCGAGCGGCGCGGCGGCCGGAUGCGUGAUGCCUAGGUAUCUGCAUGGUCGUGGGGGAUGACGUCAGGAACGGGGAGCUAAUACCACAUCCUAUCAGCUGCGCCUAGGUCGGAUUGGCGAGUUGGUGGGGUAACGGCCUACCAGGGCGACGAUCCGUAACUGGUCUGAGAGGAUGAUCAGUCACACUGGGACUGAGACACGGCCCAGACUCCUACGGGAGGCAGCAGUGGGGAAUAUUGCACAAUGGGCGAAAGCCUGAUGCAGCCAUGCCGCGUGUGUGAAGAAGGUCUGCGGGUUGUAAAGCACUUUAAGUUGGGAGGCGUUACCAACAGAAUAAGCACCGGCUAACUUCGUGCCAGCAGCCGCGGUAAUAC